CAGCAGCCGCGGUAAAACGUAGGUCCCGAGCGUUGUCCGGAUUUAUUGGGCGUAAAGCGAGCGCAGGCGGUUAGAUAAGUCUGAAGUUAAAGGCUGUGGCUUAACCAUAGUACGCUUUGGAAACUGUUUAACUUGAGUGCAAGAGGGGAGAGUGGAAUUCCAUGUGUAGCGGUGAAAUGCGUAGAUAUAUGGAGGAACACCGGUGGCGAAAGCGGCUCUCUGGCUUGUAACAGACGCUGAGGCUCGAAAGCGUGGGGAGCAAACAGGAUUAGAUACCCGCGUAGUCCCUGUCUCUUAUACA
rnacentral:rRNA from 1 species